rnacentral:lncRNA from 1 species
GCGCUGAUGUGCGCCUGCGAGCACGGCCGCGUGGAGACGGUGAAGCUGCUGCUGGCUCAGCCCGCCUGCAACAUCUCCAUCGUGGACAGCGAUGGUAACAACGCCGUCGCCAUCGCGCUGGAGGCCGGCCACAGCAACAUCGCCGUGCUGCUCUAUGCCCACCUGAAUGGGACAAAGGCGCAGCCACACCAGGGGACAUCAACAGUGGGCACCAAGAGCCCCGGGAACCCAAAGAAACCAAAUUAGAAUGAGCUUUGGAUCCAGCCGUGUGCCAGCUGGCCAUCAGUGCUGGGCUGUAAUUUACACCCCCCCUCCUGCUGCUCCUUCGUGUGCCGAAUUGCUCCCCGAGGCUGAAGAUGUUUUCAUCCUCCUGGCGAUAGAGCAGGCGCUGUCCCUGGGCCUCGCUCGCCCUGCCUGCUGCAGGAAGCGCCCCACGGUGCCCACCUCGCUCCCAGGGACAGAGGAGCCAAGCAUCAAGUGACCUCCACUGCCGGCCACCAUCACUGGAGCUGUGCCACCUUGCUGCAAGGCCCCAGCUCACCAGAACAGCAAAAAAGCAAGCCAGCAGAAACAGCAGCUGGUUUCUGCUCCUAUUGCCAGCUCCCAGCAACUGCAGGAGGGCAGCAGAGCCA